rnacentral:lncRNA from 1 species
ACACAAUGAUCUGUGCUUUUGUUUUUUGAUUUUUUUCUCAUAUUUUCUUGUAAAUACUCUGGGGCUUAAGAGUCAACUUGAACUUCCCUAUGCCAUGUGUGCUGUGUUCUCUGUUCAUGUUCCUCUCCUCCCCCAGGACUCUCCUAAGCCACAAGGACUUCUAAAUCCUCCUUUCCUGAGACCACUUUGCCUCUUUGCAGAGGAGCUCUGUUCGGGUGCACUUGCGUUUCCUUUUGGAAACACAGCCCUGAAACAGCUUUUCUUGACACAGCACUUCUUGUGAAGCUAUUAUGUGUGCAGUCAGCAAGGAUACACAUCCCUUGCCGUUUCCUGGAGAAAUGCUGCCAGAGCGGUUCACAGUCCUUCCUUUUGUUUGGCUUCCAUGUGUCCAUUUGGAAAGUCUCACCACAGUUCAGAAAAGUCUUUGUCCAUCAAGGUCUUUCUGGAAGUUUGAUGCAUAAAUGGCCUCUCUUCAAGCUCUGACCUAUUUGCAAAAAUGGAGUCCAAGUUGAAAGUGUGCGUGCUUCAGUAGACAUCCGUCACGCAGUAGCUUGUACUUUAGAUACUAACAAAACGUGGAUGCUGCCCAUUCAAAGCUUUGUCGUUCUUUUCCUGUCCGGCAGUGGUUUGCAACUCACAUUCUCAGUAACAGACCUGCUUGAAUUAGUGAACUAAGCGAGACGAUUAUUCUGCUCAUUUAAAAUAUGACCUGCUGCAUAAGAAACUCCCCACCUCUUUUGCGUAAGUGAGAGCUGUCAUGUGUGUCUAAUACCCAGUAAUUCUCAAAGUCAAUCUGGCCUGAAUAGUUUUCCAUUCAUCUUGCCUUAUAGCUUCAGUUUCCUAAUAAUUCUUUCUGAAGGGCCACAGAUAUCAAAGAAUAAAUCUUAACCUAUACACAUCACAGAACGCCAAAUUGCAAUGGAUUGUAAAUAAACCUAAGAAGCUUUGUGCAAGUACCCAGCAGCCUCUCUUCAAAGUUCUUUAUCCCUAAAAACUGACUUAACUAGUUGUCUUUUUUUAUUUGGGGAAGAAUUUUAGAAUUUUAAUAUGGUAAUAUGUCUAGGAUUGGACCCACAAAUCAGGAAAAACUCACUCACCUUUACAAGUCCUGCCAACUUCGACAACAUCAAAGCUGGCCAGACCUGUGGCCAUGCAGGGAGAUAAAUGAGAGUGGGGAGCUAGCCAGUCCACGAGAGGUGGUAACUCACUUGGCACUAUCCUUGUAGACUCUGGAAUCUCUCUCUGGUACAGAAUUGGUUGCAGCAGAAAUGGCGAACAUCUAUGCACAGGAAAUAAAGAUUUUCGUCCCUGACCUUUCCCUAUUGGACCUGUCAUCUUUCAUCACUGAGAUGAUCAAGGGAAAUCACAUACAUUUUUUUAUGUGAACCAUCAAGAGAAGGAGUGUGGAGUGUGGGAAAUUAAUUUCUGACUUGCUCCCAGCCCCUCCCCACAGGGUAUGUAAGUGAUCAGCACAGGCAAAUUAGUUUUUCCAUCCUCUUUGACUCCAAUCUACCCACAUGAGUGAAGAGAGAGGGAGUUGUUUGAUAAGGUUUGGGAAUCAGCAUCUGCUUUUCUUAGCACUUCUCGAUGGAUUUAUCAGGCAUCCUGUAACUUACACUUCCUGUUGGGAACAAUAAGAGAACACCGUACACAGACACACGGCAUCUGGAUAGGAGUUGGGCCCACUGCUGCGGCUGGGCAUUUGGAAGAGCCUGUGUAUGCAGGAGAGUCAUCUUCAUGCUUAAUCAUUUCUUCCCUGGAAAAAAGUGGCCCUGUCUACAAACAUUAAUGCUUCCUUACAAGUUCCGUGAGCUUGGAGCUAUGGAGUGGUAUUUAGACACUUUGAGUUCUAGGCAUUUUUUUUUAUGCCUCCGAGGUUAUUCUUAUUGUACAACUUCAUUUUGGCCUAUGUUGUAAGUGAAACUGAGUGCAUCUCAAGCCAUGUCAAGAUUGAAGGACCUGUAGCUAUAUAAGGCAUCUUUAUGGAGAAAAUUAAAUCUAUUUCU